GCCCAGAUGGCGGAAUUGGUAGACGCGCACGACUCAAACUCGUGUUCCUCUGGAGUGCGGGUUCGAUUCCCGCUCUGGGCACAA
rnacentral:tRNA from 1 species